rnacentral:pre_miRNA from 1 species
ACACAGACUCCCUGGGGAUCUUGUUCAAAUGCAGAUUCUGAUUUAGCAGGUCCAAGGUGGGGCCUGCAAUUCUGCAUUUCUAACCAGCUCCUACAUAAA